ACCUUGUGCCUCAACAGAGCCAGAAAAUGAUCUUCCUACACCUGUGCAGGAAUCCCAACCUGUUCUCUCAGCUCAGCAGCAAUCCUCACCGUCCACGUGCCACACGAACCCCGCCUUUUUCUCCAUCUCCUCCAAGACCCAGGCAGCUGCUCGUUCAGGAUAUCCUGACAGCUACUUUCAAGACUUCACCGACAUCCUGUCCACGUCAGCUACACCUACCACAAGUGUCUCUACACCCUCACUGUCCACUGCCAUGCCGUUAAGCUUGUUCCAGGCCAACCAGAGGUCCCUUUCACCCGGAUCAGGGACUCAGGAGUCUUGCCCUCAAAGCCAGUCAUAUUCACAGAUUCAGGCGAAUGUCGGAAUCCCCCCUCAGAAGCAAAUCAAACAAGUUCCCACGUGGAGUCCCCAAGGCAGGUGCAGAGGUCCGUGCCUGGCUGAAGAAGAGACUGACAGUGAAGAUGAUUGUGCACCACCUCGACACAGUCAGCGGUCCCAGCCCAGAGGAAGCAGAAAUGGAUCAUUUCACAACGUCUGUGGUCCCAACAAUCAGCAGGAAACUCAGUCCUUCUCUUCCCGUCACCUCUCUGACAGACACUCAGGCUGUCCAGUCAGCCACGGCCUCAGCAUUUCUGAAGAGAUUGAUCUGUCAUUCAAAAACAACAGUUCAAUCCUGGCUUCCUGUAAUGAGUCUGAGAGUGAAGGGUCAGUGCCUGAGUUAGAAGAGCCAGAGCCAAUGAGACCAUCUGAGCCACAGGUGAGUCACUUCACCUGCUUUUAUUUUUCUCUUUUAUGUAAAUCUCACCCUUCAAUCCAUGUUGAAUGUAAUA
rnacentral:lncRNA from 1 species